rnacentral:rRNA from 1 species
UACAGAGGUCUCAAGCGUUGUUCGGAUUCAUUGGGCGUAAAGGGUGCGUAGGCGGCGCGGUAAGUCGGGUGUGAAAUUUCGAGGCUUAACUUCGAAACUGCAUUCGAUACUGCCGUGCUAGAGGACUGGAGAGGAGACUGGAAUUUACGGUGUAGCGGUGAAAUGCGUAGAUAUCGUAAGGAAGACCAGUGGCGAAGGCGGGUCUCUGGACAGUUCCUGACGCUGAGGCACGAAGGCCAGGGGAGCAAACGGGG